GCUCCUCACUUCCUUUCCGCCCGGCGUCCGGGAGCACAGUCUUCUCGUGCAGCAUGGCGGGCGGCGGAGGCCCGGGCCUGUGGAACCCGGCCUGUCCUCGGGCUCUUCCAGGUGCGAACCCCGCGGUCUGUCCACCCCGUCGGUGCGGAGCGGGGCACCCAGCUGACGGCGUCGGUCCCUCACCGGGUACGGUGGGCCACAUGGCCUGGUCUGCGCGGCCGCUCGCAUUCACGUUCCCGCGCGCUCGGGCUUUAAAAUAACCUGCAGAUCCUGAACUGCUCUAGCUCGGGGGACAACAGCCCUUGGCGGCCCUUAGUUAAAGGCCUGCGCCUCAGGACGCAUCGAAGUGCGGGAAGGAGCGGCCGCUCCUGGCGGCAGCUUUCGCUGGGCCUGCACUGUGUCCACCAGAAGAGCCACGGUGCAGCCUAUUUCAGGCUUCUUAAGUGCAACAAAACCUGCCUCUUGAACGUGCUUGAACAAAUGUUUUCCAGAAACUUGUCACAGAACACGAUUUAAAUAAGCCACCAGGACGGCAGUUGCCAGUAACAAGGUAGCUGCAGGCGAAAGUCCCACCUCAGGAGCUGUGAUGUUUACAAACACUUUUGGUGCAGCAGCACACAUUGUGGAUGGUGAAAUGAAGAAUUGGUCAAGAAUCCGUGAACAGAAGCAAAUGAUGAAUUAGUGUUUUGAUUUAUAGUAAUCAACAAUAAAUUAUGUAGAAAUAAGUUGCUAACUGUGUGGGUAGUAGUUUCUUUAAAAUGUAUGUCUUUUGAGCUUCGUUUUAUUUGUCCACAGCCCGGGUACACUGUAGGGGACAGUGCUCAGCAGUCUGUCUAGUACAGUAGCUGGGGUACACUGUAGAGGACAGUGUUCGGCAGUUUCUCUGGUACAGUAGCCGGGGUACACUUUAGGGGACAGUGUUGGGCAGUCUGUCUAAUGUAGUAACCAGGGUACACUGUAGGAAGUCACUUGACAAGUCUGAACCAAUUUCGAGUGAAGACUUAAAUUUUUAGCCUCUUGAGUUCCUGGGUUUAGUAAAUAGCAUAAGAACACAUCAACAUUCUGAUGACUUGGGGCAUUUAAAAGCCUUUGUAUUAAGGGCUGAGGAAGUGGUUGCUUAACUGGCACAAGGCCCUGGGUUUGUUCCCUGGGUGGGGCGGGGAUAUUCCUAAUGCUAGACUUUGGUUGUGAGAGGUACUGUGUGUGUUGAGGGAGGUUGGUUUACCUUUCACAUGAAAAAGCACAGACAGGACUUAAUUUGUAUGCACUGUUGUUAACCUGCUCAUCAGAGUCAAUACUUAGUAAUACAAAAGUCAGGCACUGUAGACCAGCUAAUUGGAGGCAGGAAGACCAUUGGCCCCCAGGAGGUCUUUCCAGUCAUUGGUUGUAUAAAGGGUAUAUGUAGGAAGUCCACAUCUUUCCUUGACUUCAUACUUGGGCUUAUAAAGCAAUAUAUCCAUAAUGCCCUUGAUAAACUAUCAAAAGGCUUUACAUUAGGCACUGGGUUAUAAAAAUUGCAGUGAUUUAAACUCAUCAAUUUUGUAACUUAACAAGCAUGGUAUCUACCUGAUGGGAGUGGAUGGGACCUUUUUUCACACUGCUAUGUUCUCUACUGUGUGUAUCUUUGAUAACACUGGGGUAACCAGGAAGUUUUGAUAUGAUUCUCCUUGGUAAUUUAAUGUGUAAA